UUUCCCUACGGGGGGCAGCAGUGGGGAAUAUUGGGCAAUGGGCGCAAGCCUGACCCAGCAACGCCGCGUGAAGGAAGAAGGCUUUCGGGUUGUAAACUUCUUUUCUCAGGGACGAAGCAAGUGGCGGUACCUGAGGAAUAAGCCACGGCUAACUACGUGCCAGCAGCCGCGGUAAUACGUAGGUGGCAAGCGUUAUCCGGAUUUACUGGGUGUAAAGGGCGUGCAGGCGGGGAAAACAGGUA
rnacentral:rRNA from 1 species